CAGCAAUGAGGUUAGGUAGAAUUUUAGCAUGGAUUGUGCGCAACUAGCUAAAGAAUGUAGAAUCCACAAAUGACAAUGGCAAAUAAUCUCACUCCUGUUCUUAGGAACCUAUUGAGGUUGAUGUUUAACUGGACCUCAAGCCAUUCCUCUCACUGCCCAUCCUCCUAAGUAUGAUGUAUGGCCUGAAGAAAUAAUCAUGGUGGGAACACAGAAAAUUUUCAUCAAAGGAGCAAGAAAUUCUUCAUAACUUCAACACAACAUGGCCUUUGGGAACAGAAUAAAACACAAAUAAGGAAAGGCGGAAAA